rnacentral:rRNA from 1 species
GGUCCCCUACGGGAGGCAGCAGUGAGGAAUAUUGGUCAAUGGACGCAAGUCUGAACCAGCCAAGUAGCGUGCAGGAUGACGGCCCUCCGGGUUGUAAACUGCUUUUAGUUGGGAAUAAAAGGGGGCUCGUGAGCCCCGUAUUGUAUGUACCAUCAGAAAAAGGACCGGCUAAUUCCGUGCCAGCAGCCGCGGUAAUACGGAAGGUCCGGGCGUUAUCCGGAUUUAUUGGGUUUAAAGGGAGCGUAGGCGGUCUUUUAAGUCUGAUGUGAAAGCCUUCGGCUUAACCGGAGUAGUGCAUUGGAAAC